GGUACGCCUCUCGCCCAUCCUUCCCUCCCCUUUCUUAACUACACUUAUAAUUAUUGAUAUGGUCCCUUAAUAACUUAGAAAGGAAGAAAUUAUAUAUUAAUAUAUACAAGUGUUAAGUCCCCGGCAAGCUCGGCCUAAUUCCACCUUCUCAUACAAACAGAGUUUCGUUCUCAUUUUAAAACGACGGGUUAGAUUGUUAUGAAACUUUACACAUACAAUGAAAUGAGGUAUAUCUAUGCCUGUAAUAAGUUUAUAUAGCUCCAGCUUUUAAAACAAACGAAAUAGACCAAAAACAAGUUUUGUAUGAAAAACUUAAAUUCGCUGUCUUUUUAGGGUUCCGUAGCCAAAUGGCAAAAAACGGAACCCUUAUAGAUUCGUCAUGUCCUGUCUAUCUGUCCGUCCGUAUGUCACAGCCACUUUUUUCCGAAAACUUCCGAAACUAUAAGAACUAUACUGUUGAAACUUGGUAAGUAGUCUGUGAACCGCAUUAAGAUUUUCACACAAAAAUAAAAAUAAAAAACAAUAAAUUUUGGGGGUUCCCCAUACUUAGAACUGAAACUCAAAUAUAUUUUUUCAUCAAACCCAUACGUGUGGGGUAUCUAUGGAUAGGUCUUCAAAAAUGAUAUUGAGGUUUCUAAUAUCAUUUUUUUUCUAAACUGAGUAGUUUGCGCGAGAGACACUUCCAAAGAUGUAAAAUGUGUGUCCCUCUCCUGUAACUUCUAAAACAAGAGAAUGAUAAAACUAAAAAAAAUAUAUGAUGUACAUUACCACGUAAACUUCCACCGAAAAUUGGUUUGAACGAGACCUAGUAAGUAGUUUUUUUUUUAAUACGUCAUAAA